ensembl:ncRNA lncRNA:CR45216 long non-coding RNA:CR45216
CACUGCCACACACACACACCCAAGACGAGGACGAGGAGAAAAGGACGAGGUCGCCACCGCCAGCGGCUACAAUAAAAACAGGUGCACGAAGCGAAACAGUUACAAGUGCGUCGCAGCUCACUUUCCAUACACCAUAUAGCAUAUACCAUAUAGCAUACGGCCCAAAACUAAUCCCAUACUGCCUGCGAAAGUUUCGAAAUCUGCCCGGAGAUUCCAUGCUAUCUAGCUUCUUGUCAGCGAAACAUUGGUUAGGUGGAAUACCCUUUGCCCACUUGGGGGAUCUCUUAAUUAUGCAUGCGGGUGUCUGUCCUUCUGGAAUCCGAUUUUAUGGAAUGUCCCGGAAUGCGUGAAUUCAUUUCUACUCAGCCGCAAUUGGUUGGACGUAUGUAUACUUGGUUGCCUACAUCUAAAAUUAAUGUUUUAUCAUUUUGUGGGAAGCUCAUUGCUGCCAAUUUUUGUGUGCGUCAGCAGAAUCGUUUCCCAUAACGCAUAAAAACCUGUAUUGUUUAACUUGAUAUUCAGUUGUAUAUAUUUUACCAUAUAUAUUAUGAGUUAUUUUUUUAAGAAUGAAA